rnacentral:misc_RNA from 1 species
UUUCCGUAGGUGAACCUGCGGAAGGAUCAUUAAAAAAUGAGACCUCGAUUUUAAGGUCUAUUAAUAUCCUACCCUUUGUGAAUUUGUUUUGUUUUAAUAUUGUGUCCUUUCCCUGGUUUGAUGGAGCUUGUUUAAAGCAAAAUCAAUCCAGGGGAAUGGCAAAACCUUUUUUUAAAUUAAACUUUUUGUAUUCAUUUGUCUAAAAUUAUUUUUAUAAUAUAAAAACAACUUUUGACAAUGGAUCUCUUGGUUCUCGCAACGAUGAAGAACGCAGCAAAAUGCGAUAAGUAGUGUGAAUUGCAGAAUACGUGAAUCAUCGAAUCUUCGAACGCAUAUUGCACUUUUUUGGUUUACCAAAAAAGUAUGUCUGUUUGAGUAUCAGUAAAAUAUUCUCAUAAAAACUUUUUGUUUUUAUGGUUAUGAGUGUUUUACAACGAUAAACAAGUUGUUUCACUUUAAAUUCUUUUCUUUAAAAAAUCAUUAAAAACUGAUUUUUUUUAAAAUUGGAUAAAAUUUUCCCGUAAAAAGGAAUAACCUAAACAAUUUUAAUUUAAUUGUUUGAUUUCUUUAAGAUUUAAAGGAAAAAAGUAAAAAUUAACUUGAUCUCAAAUCAGAUAAGAGUACCCGCUGAACUUAAGCAUAUCAAUAAGCGGAGGAAAAGAAACUAACUAGGAUUCCCUCAGUAACGGCGAGUGAAGCGGGAAGAGCUCAAAUUUGAAAUCUUCAAGGUUCUACCUUGACGAAUUGUAGUUUAAAGAAGUGUUUUCUGUUGGAGUUUUGGUAAAAGUUCUUUGGAAUAGGACAUCAUAGAGGGUGAGAAUCCCGUAUUUGACCAUUAUUUCCAACUUGUGAUACACUUUCAAAGAGUCGGAUUGUUUGGGAAUGCAGUCCAAAAUGGGUGGUAAAUUUCAUCUAAAGCUAAAUAUUGGCGAGAGACCGAUAGCGAACAAGUACCGUGAGGGAAAGAUGAAAAGAACUUUGAAAAGAGAGUAAACAGUACGUGAAAUUGUCAAAAGGGAAGCGUUUGACACCAGUGUUGUUUUCUCGAAAAUCAAUUAAAAAGAGUUGGAUUUUGUGUUGUAUUGACUUAACAGCUUUCUGCACUUUUUCCUGUCUUUUUUAAUGCACUUUUCGUUUAACAAGUCAACAUCAAUUUCUUUUGUUGUAAAAGGGUCAUUGGAAGGUGGCUUUCUUUCGGAGAAAGUGUUUAUAGCCUUUGACUUCUGCAAUCGGAGAGAUUGAGGUCUGCAGCGUAGAUCCUUCGGGUUAGAUACAUUUGUGCUAAGCUAUAGCCUUUCAUAGACAACUUGUUGACUAUGAUCAGUCUGUAGCUUACUCGCUUAUGUCAUUUUACCUACGCUUAGGAUGUUGAG